GCUGAAAAGUGACCGACAGUGCUUUCUUGGACCAGAGUGGCAUAAUCGCCGUAUUAUUCGUUUCUAUGCAAUUAGAACUGCUGGCGCAUGAUUCCAUAUGAUAAUUGCAUAUUGAAAGAAAUUCCCCUUUACCUUAUCGAUGUCGAAAAUAUUAAGUACCUAUUCUAAAUUAUCGGUGUUUAUCUUCUCUCGCUACCCGAUAUAAAUAAGGGCAACCAAGGCGACCCGAGCGUUGUACAGCUGCAGCUUAAGCCUUGUUUAACUUCAGUAAUUUACACCUACUCGUAUAUAAAAAUGCAUCAAAACUCUUCGUAUUUGUGGUGUUCAUUAUCGCCAGCCUUUUCAGGGAAGCAAAAUGCAGGAGACUUGAAAAUGCUGGGAAGAGGGUUUGCGACGCGGGGACUAUUGCAGUAUCGAAAGGAAAACAUGGUUGAGAGAGGCAGAGUUUGAUAUCGUUCUGAUUCCGCUUACCUGUAUAUAUUUGCAUAAUUUUGAAUAAAAUGACGUAUGACUGAAA